rnacentral:rRNA from 1 species
GAUGAACGCUGGCGGCGUGCUUAACACAUGCAAGUCGAACGUGAGAGGUAGCAAUAUCUUGAAAGUGGCGCACGGGUGAGUAACACGUAGGUAACCUGCCUCGGAGUGGGGGAUAACAGUUAGAAAUGACUGCUAAUACCGCAUGAAUCCAUUAAGAUGGGAAUGUUGAUGGAGAAAACUCUGGUGCUUCGAGAGGGGCCUGCGGUCGAUUAGCUAGUUGGCGGGGUAACGGCCCACCAAGGCGACGAUCGAUAGCUGGUCUGAGAGGACGAUCAGCCACACGGGAACUGAGACACGGUCCCGACUCCUACGGGGGCAGCAGUGAGGAAUAUUGGGCAAUGGGCGGAAGCCUGACCCAGCAACGCCGCGUGGAGGAAUGAAAGGCCUUCGGGUUGUAAACUCCUUUUGCAGGGGAAGAGGAAGGACGGUACCCGUGCGAAUAAGUCACGGCUAACUAACGUGCCAGCAGCCGC